rnacentral:rRNA from 1 species
GCCCGGGACGAAGCGAGAGUGACGGUACCGGGAGAAGAAGCACCGGCUGACUACGUGCCAGCAGCCGCGGUAAUACGUAGGGUGCGAGCGUUGUCCGGAAUUAUUGGGCGUAAAGAGCUCGUAGGCGGUUUGUCGCGUCGACUGUGAAAACCUGGGGCUCAACUCUGGGCUUGCAGUCGAUACGGGCAGACUUGAGUUCGGUAGGGGAGACUGGAAUUCCUGGUGUAGCGGUGAAAUGCGCAGAUAUCAGGAGGAACACCGGUGGCGAAGGCGGGUCUCUGGGCCGAUACUGACGCUGAGACGCGAAAGCGUGGGGAGCGAACAGGAUUAGAUACCCUGGUAGUCCACGCCGUAAACGAUGGGCACUAGGUGUGGGGCUCGAUCGACGGGCUCCGUGCCGUAGCUAACGCAUUAAGUGCCCCGCCUGGGAAGUACGGCCGCAAGGCUAAAACUCAAAGGAAUUGACGGGGGCCCGCACAAGCGGCGGAGCAUGUUGCUUAAUUCGAUGCAACGCGAAGAACCUUACCAAGGCUUGACAUGCAGGGAAAAGCCGUAGAGAUACGGUGUCCUUCGGGGCCCUGCACAGGUGGUGCAUGGCUGUCGUCAGCUCGUGUCGUGAG